rnacentral:rRNA from 1 species
GAUGAACGCUGGCGGCGUGCCUAAUACAUGCAAGUCGAGCGAACAGACGAGGAGCUUGCUCCUCUGACGUUAGCGGCGGACGGGUGAGUAACACGUGGAUAACCUACCUAUAUGACUGGGAUAACUUCGGGAAACCGGAGCUAAUACCGGAUAAUAUAUUGAACCGCAUGGUUCAAUAGUGAAAGACGGUUUUGCUGUCACUUAUAGAUGGAUCCGCGCCGCAUUAGCUAGUUGGUAAGGUAACGGCUUACCAAGGCAACGAUGCGUAGCCGACCUGAGAGGGUGAUCGGCCACACUGGAACUGAGACACGGUCCAGACGACUACGGGAGGCAGCAGUAGGGAAUCUUCCGCAAUGGGCGAAAGCCUGACGGAGCAACGCCGCGUGAGUGAUGAAGGUCUUCGGAUCGUAAAACUCUGUUAUUAGGGAAGAACAAAUGUGUAAGUAACUAUGCACGUCUUGACGGUACCUAAUCAGAAAGCCACGGCUAACUACGUG